rnacentral:rRNA from 1 species
UACGUAGGGGGCAAGCGUUGUCCGGAAUCAUUGGGCGUAAAGAGCGUGUAGGCGGUCCGGUCAGUCGGUUGUGAAAGUCAAGGGCUCAACCCUUGAAUGCCGGCCGAUACUGCCGGGCUAGAGUCCGGAAGAGGUGAGUGGAAUUCCUGGUGUAGCGGUGAAAUGCGCAGAUAUCAGGAGGAACACCGGUGGCGAAGGCGGAUCUCUGGGCCAUUACUGACGCUGAGGAGCGAAAGCGUGGGGAGCGAACAGG